rnacentral:rRNA from 1 species
GACGAACGCUGGCGGCGUGCCUAACACAUGCAAGUCGAACGGAAAGGCCCUGCUUUUGUGGGGUGCUCGAGUGGCGAACGGGUGAGUAACACGUGAGUAACCUGUCCCUGACUGUGGGAUAUCUUCAGGAAACAGGGUCUAAUACCGCAUAGGAGCUCCUGCUGCAUGGUGGGGGUUGGAAAGAUUCGGUGGUUGGGGAUGGACUAGCGGCUUAUGAGCUUGUUGGGGGGGUAGUGGCUUACCAAGGCUAUGACGGGUAGCCGGCCUGGGAGGGGGACCGGCCACAUUACGACUGAGAUACGGCCCAGACUCGUACGGUAGGCAGCAGUGGGGAGUAUUGCACAAUGGGCGGGAGCCUGAUGUAACAACGCCGCGUGCGGGAUGACGGCCUUCGGGUUGUAAACCGAUGUCGCCUGAGCCGAGGCGAUAGUGACGGUACCGGGUAAAGAAGCACCGGCUAACUACGUG